UUAUUUCCACCAAAUCUAGAGGUCAGAGUUGCAACAUGUAGCAGUCAACAUUGAGCACAUGAUCCCACUGACAUCACUUCCCCUACUACUCAAGAUAUUACUGAUAUUUAAGUAAGGAAGUGAGCUAUAAAUCAAAGACUGCCAUACCAUCUUAAUCACAGGUUUGAAAAAAGCCAUCUUCAGUUCACUCCCAUAGAAAACAAGCAAGACACCAUAAACCAUGAAGGCCUGGUCUAGAGCAAUGGCUGCUCUCACUUUUGCACUUUCACUGCUAUCCUUAUUGUGGCCUGGUGGAGCUAAAGGAGACAACCGCCAGUUAACAAAAGGAUCUUCCUUCUCGGGAUCAUCCUCUCAGGCUCUCAAAGAUUUGCAAGGGGACAGGAAGAAUCCUUAUAAGCAGGUGGACUCAUGCUUUCGAAAGAUACCUCCAUCAACUUCGAAUCCCAUACAGAACAAGUAAUUCCUGCCACCAAUGGUCCAAUCCUCCGUCUACCGGCUGAGAAAGUACAGAACAAGGAUUAGUGGAAUCUAGACAGAAUCAAGUUUUAUUUUUCUUUCAUUCGCAAUGUAUUACUUUUCUAAGACUCCAAGAAAGGUUAUAAGUUUUUGUUAGAGGUAUAAUGCAUUCACAGUUGUUUUUGCCAACACGGGCUGUGGAUUAAUGUUCUCAACUGAGAAUGUUCAGUAUCUGGAUGUGUGAUUAGAAUAACUCCUGUGUUUAACUUCGAGUUCAAAAGCAAAUAGCUCAA